UACAGAGGGUGCAAGCGUUUAAUCGGAAUUAUUGGGCGUAAAGGGUUUGUAGGCGGUCGAUUAAGUUAGAUGUGAAAUACCUGGGCUUAACCUGGGAAUUGCAUUUAAUACUGGUCGACUAGAGUAUGGUAGAGGAAAGGGGAAUUUCCGGUGUAGCAGUGAAAUGCGUAGAUAUCGGAAGGAACAUCAGUGGCGAAGGCGCCUUUCUGGACUAAUACUGACGCUGAGGAACGAAGGCGUGGGAGCAAACAGG
rnacentral:rRNA from 1 species